UUUUUUUUUUAAACCCUGUGUGGAUCAGUGUAGACAGGCACAGUGCUUCUGGCCUCCGAUUGGGAGAUUGGUUGCCGGGGGCCGCCAAUACAAAAGGAAGUUGCUUUCCAGAAAAAGUGGAAGACAUUCUGGCUACGGGGAAAGGCUUCAACUCACCAGUCCACUAGUCUUGAUGCACAGACUGGACUUGUGCACCUGUUUUUUUUUUUUUUUUUUAAUUCUAACUGCGGAUAUUCCCAAAAUACUGGAUUGUGCUCCAGUUGACAGCAGUCGGAAGAGUUGAGGAUAAUCUUACGGUGAUUGGACAAACAAGAAUCGGGGAUUGUCACCGAUGGGAAUGGAGUUCUCAAUUUGUUGACAUUCUCCAGGAAAAGACAUGUUGUGAGGUUUGCGGUCCAGCGGUUGAGGUUUAGACCAGCGGGGAAGGAACCUGCUUGGUUUCCAGCCCCGGAGGUUCCUUUUCCGCUCCGCCGGGAUCUUCGUUGCCGGAGUCGAUGGGAGCGUCGUCCUGCAUGAGCGCGCGCGGCAAGGAAUGAUGUCGUUUUUGGGGGGGCAAACAACAGAGGGGGAAAAAAAGGUGAUCUUCACAAAGGGGAAAGCUCACCGUCACCCAUGGGUGCGAGAGAACUUCGUCUGCCGUGAAGCGAGCGUCCACGUUCACCUGCAGCAUCUGACUGAUCAGCAUCUGAGGAAAAGAUGGCGGAACAAUGAGAUUGCGUUUUUCACGGGGGAUACAUUUUACGCCCCUUGUAAUCUGUGAAAAUUGACAAAGUAAAGGAGAUUAUGGUUUUACCCAUCCGGCACGUUUUAAACAUUUAACGACUAGAAAGUGAAUUCAGAGAUUUGUUUCUAAAUUCUUGGUAGAUAUUUGAAGAUAAUUGCUGAAAACAGACUGGAAAGGUUGUGAACCGUAGAGUGAGCAAUGCCUUCACCCUGAAAAUACAUAUUCCCUUCUGAUAGUCCGACGGCGCGUCCGCUUUAGAGCGCCUCGUCGUCGGCUGCGAGCGCACGAAUGUCACGCAGAGAAAGUCGGAAGAGGCAGGAAUUUGUUUUUUGUGUUUGGACACGCCUAGAACAUUCCAGAGCGGAGACAAUGGCUUGAUUUUAUUUCACAAGUUUGAAGCCUCAUUUUACGCGUUUUAUUUAUUUAUAUAUAUUUUUUUGAUCGUUCAAAUUUGGCAGGAUUGUUGACAUUUUUCUCUCUGAUGUGUUAAAUUUAGAAGACAUUUUCACUUCACAUUGACUCGAAUCAAUAUUUCCGGGUUGUCUGUGUUUGAUGAUUGAUGUUAAAAGUUCGAAGCUGGAAAAACAACACAAAAACGAUGUAAUGGAACCGCAGUAGGCAAUCCGAAAUGUAGCAGAGAACACGAGUUUGGGGACGUUCUUCUAGACUCUUCCGUGGAUGGCUGUAGCCGUCACCUUGGCAGGAAGGCUGACGGCGUCCCAGUCCGGAGACGGGAACUCCAGCUUGCCUCUGAGGAUCUGAUCGAACAGCUCCUCCUGGACGUUGUUCUCGCUGAGGAAGACGAGGCACAAUUAUAUUUUGUUUCGGACCCUCGUUGGGUCCAGCCGCCUGUGCGGUAGAUUCUCGCUGACCUUCUGAACGGCGGGAAACCACAAAGGAGGAUGUAGGCGAUGAUGCCCGCCGCCCAGAUGUCCACCUUCAGUCCGUAACUGCGCACACACAUCCGCAAGCGAUGAAUGCCAGCUCAAAAAGAAAGCCCUGUGCUCACUUCCUGUGUCCUCUCACCCGGUCUCGGCGAUGAUCUCCGGGGCCACGUAGGUCGGCGUGCCGCAGACGGUGUAAAGCGGCCCCUCCACCACCGUGGCCAAACCGAAGUCUCCCAGUUUGAGCGACUUGGUGCCAUCCGGGUACUCGCACACCUGCCGGGAACACAAACGCGUCACACGGCGCGGUGGCGCCCACGUUGGCCGGCGCCUACCAGCAGGUUUUCUGGCUUGAUGUCUCUGUGCACGAUGUUCAUCCUGUGCAGGUACUUGAUGGCUCCGGCCAGGUUGUACACCAUGGCGCUGGCGUCGUGCUCGCUGUACUUGGUGGACGACGUGAUGGCGUCGAACAGGUCGCCGCCCUGAGGCGGGCACAGAGACGGAGUUGUAACUUUGACCCUACAGUCGGUCGUCACGCACGCGGGAGGAAGAAGGCCACCUUGACCAGCUCCAUGACCAGGAAGAGCUGAGACGGCGUUUCGUCCACCUCGAUGAGCUGGAUGAUGCUGGGGUGUCGAACCCGCCGCAGGACCGCCACCUCGUUCUCGAUCAGCAGCGAGCUUUGUCGAUGAUCUUCAGAGCGAACUCCUGCCCGGUGGACCUGCCAGGAACAUCAGAAGCGUCACGGCGCUUUCGGCUAACAAAAACCAAACUUGGUUUAUCUUUACCUCUCGACGCACUCCUUCACCACCGCAAAGUUUCCAUCGCCGAUGACUUUCCCGAUAUUGUACUUGCUGCUGAUGAGCGUCGACGACACCGUCAGGUUUCCAUUCUCUUGGAAGAGAAGUUUGACCGGUGUGGUGACUCGGCCGUCGGACAGACAGUUUGGCGGUCGUGACAACACACCUUCGGGAGUGACGCCAUCGGCGUGCUCGGCCGCACCGUUGACGUCCACGGAUGAAGAGCGAUGAGGGGAAACCUGCGGACGCGAGCGAGACGCGGAUCGUGUUGGUGCAGAGGAUGGAGACGAGACGAAGAGUAGGCUCGCAACCUUAACGAAGAGCCCACCUUGAGGCUGCUGCGUGUCCCGGGACCCGUGGGGGAGGGGCUCGACCUGGACGACUUUGCGGGGGCCUGCGAUCCUGACGCCUCGUUGGCUGCAGAGGAGAGGAAAGGAUCGUGUUGAGCGAAGAUAGGAAAGCGUCUCGAACGGGUCCCGUGCGGAUGCCGGCUCCCACCCGAUCCCGGUGACCUGGCCUGGGCCGCAGCUUUGGCUGAAGCCUUGGAGGAGGCCAAACCAGAUCCACCGGAACCCUUAGGAGUCGAGACGGCGGGACGAGAUGCUUUGACUCGGCACUCUGAAAAAAGACAGACGGCUCUAAGCGCACGACUCGGGAAAAGUUGCGGCAAUUGGGUUUUGGGGUGACUUUUCAUCCUGAUGGCAUGCGCUUCUGUCUGCGAGCGAGACCGUUAACAAAGGCCGCCGUCUUGCCACCGUGAGUGAGCACAAAGUCGUCCUGAGCGUAGCGAAACUUCUCCAGCCCGCACGCCAUGAACACGUCGUCGUCUCCGAAGAAGUCCUGUAGACAGGUGCAAGCUGAGCUCACCUGUUUUCCGUCCAGCGUGUAGAGCCUCUUGACGGCUCCCGAGUCCAGCUUGAUGGCCUCCGUGAUGUCGGCCAGCACUUGUUCGAAGGAGUGAGCCGUCUUCUUGUUCAGGAGGAUCCGCACCGCCUUGCGAGGCUUGACGCCGCUUCGGAUCACCGUCACCAACUUGGGCUUGAUGAAGUCCUUGCCCUCUCGGCCCUCGGGACGCUCUUUGCCGCCGACGCAGACCGCGGGCCCGGCGGCCGCGACGGAGGGCCUGCCCGAGCUCGCCGCGGCGCUCCCGGCGCCGGGUUUCCAGCUCGGGACGGAGAUCUUGGUGUAGUCCACUUUGCGGUAAGGCUGAUUGGAGGCGCAAACGUAGCACUCGCCUGAGCAGAGAGACGGGACUCAUGAGGAGCUUACACGGCUUAGCAAAAGUUUGGGUUGUGGAGCUUUCUGGUAAACUGCAAAUGCACUGCAACCUUUCCAGGCGAACUUAACCAAAAGCCCCUUUUUGUGUGACGUGUGUGUGAACGCGUUACGUUGCAAAGUGAUGCGGCUGUCUUAGUUUCCGUGCAUUAGUGCUCAUUAGUGGUCUUUACAGUCAUCAAUAUUGACGAGCGCAGGGAAAGGAGCAGUUCAAGUCGCUUCAACUACAAUCCUAUAAGUCGGGAAUGCUGCCCAAAGAUAGGUGCGCCAAGCUUGUGCCGUCAUCCACGCUAUAAUAUUGUAUUUUAUAAAAACACAAUUAAAAGGAAUAUGAAGA